GCACGCUGCGUUCCUCAGUCCCCCAGGAUGUAUCCAACGGAAAGCUAUAACACAGCCGAGACUGCUACCUUCAAACCGUCAUUAUCCACCCCGGAAAACUGAUGCUGGCCUGCAAACCGAAGCAAGCUCCGGCAAGCAAGUCUGACUUCAAGCGUUUCCCUUCCAACAAUUUCACGUACUGUUAACUCUCUUUCCAAAGUGCUUUUCAUCUUUCCCUCACGGUACUUGUUCGCUAUCGGUCUCUCGCCAAUAUUUAGCUUUAGAUGGAAUUUACCACCCAAUUUGAGCUGCAUUCCCAAACAACUCGACUCAUUGAAAGUGUAUCACAAAGCGCUGGGCGUCCGCACCAUAUACGGGGGUUUCACCACUAUGCCGCUGUAUUCCAACAGACUUGUGUGCGGUCCAACGCGGAAAACACUUCUAGAGAUUACAACUCGGACACCGAAGGUGCCAGAUUAUAAAUUUGAGCUCUUCCCGCUUCGCUCGCCGCUACUA
rnacentral:rRNA from 1 species